rnacentral:rRNA from 1 species
CGAAUCUCGAAAGCCUAUCUCAGUUCGGAUUGGAGGCUGAAACCCGCCUCCAUGAAGUUGGAUUCGCUAGUAAUCGCGCAUCAGCCAUGGCGCGGUGAAUACGUUCCCGGGCCUUGUACACACCGCCCGUCAAGCCAUGGGAGCUGGGGGUGCCUGAAGUUCGUGACCGCAAGGAUCGACCUAGGGCAAAACCGGUGACUGGGGCUAAGUCGUAACAAGGUAAC